rnacentral:rRNA from 1 species
GGAAUAUUGGACAAUGGGCGAAAGCCUGAUCCAGCCAUGCCGCGUGUGUGAAGAAGGUCUUCGGAUUGUAAAGCACUUUAAGUUGGGAGGAAGGGCAGUUACCUAAUACGUGAUUGUUUUGACGUUACCGACAGAAUAAGCACCGGCUAACUCUGUGCCAGCAGCCGCGGUAAUACAGAGGGUGCAAGCGUUAAUCGGAAUUACUGGGCGUAAAGCGCGCGUAGGUGGUUUGUUAAGUUGGAUGUGAAAUCCCCGGGCUCAACCUGGGAACUGCAUCCAAAACUGGCAAGCUAGAGUAUGGUAGAGGGUGGUGGAAUUUCCUGUGUAGCGGUGAAAUGCGUAGAUAUAGGAAGGAACACCAGUGGCGAAGGCGACCACCUGGACUGAUACUGACACUGAGAGACGAAAGCUAGGGGAGCGAAUGGGAUUAGAUACCCGAG